rnacentral:rRNA from 1 species
UAGAAUAAAUUUAUUAAAUUUUGGUUAAAAAAAUAAUUUAAUUUUAAGUAUUUUUUAAAGAAAAAAUAUAAUUUAUUAUAGUUAAUAGUAUUGAGAAAGAAAAUUGAAAUAAUUGAAAAUUUAUUAUAUAAAAAGAAAUUUUUAUUUAUUGUACCUUUUGUAUCAGGGAUUAUUAAAUGAUUAAUAUAGAUAUUAUUAAUUUCGAAAUAAAAAGAUUUAAUUUAAUAUAAUUUUUAUUGUAAUAAAAUUAUCUUGAAUAUUAAAUUAGAAUUAAAAAAUUAAUCGGGUUUUAUUAUAUCUAAUUUUUUAAGAAAUAAGUUGAAUUUAGUUUAUAUUAUUUUAUUUAAUUAUUUAAAAGUUAAAUAAUAAAAUAUAAGUUAUAUAGUAAGGGAUAAGCUUUAUUAUAUUUUUAUAAAAUUAAAAUAUUUAUAAUUUAUAUAUUCUUAGAAAUAGAAAUUAUAGAUUAGUAUGUUAUAAUUUAGUAUUAUAUUAGUGAUAAUAUUUAUUUAUUUUUAAAAUUAUUAUUAAAAUAUUUAAUUUAAUAAAAAAAUUAAAGUAAUAAUGAUAAUAUUAGUAUAUAGUUUUUUUAUAAAUAAUAAUAUUAAUAAAUUAAAUAUAAGGAAUUCGGCAAAUUUAGUGUUCGCCUGUUUAUUAAAAACAUGUCUUUUAGAAUUUAAUUUAAGGUUUAAUCUGCCCACUGAAAUAUUUAAAGGGCCGCAGUAUAUUAACUGUGCAAAGGUAGCAUAAUCAUUAGUUUUUUAAUUGAAAGCUAGAAUGAAUGAUUGGACGAAAUAUUUACUGUCUUAUAUUUAGUAAAAUAGAAUUUUAUUUUUUAGUUAAAAUGCUAAAAUAUAUCAGAAAGACGAGAAGACCCUAUAGAUCUUUAUAUAUGAAUUAAUUUUAUAAGAAUUAGUUAUAUUUUAUUUUAAGUUAAUGAUAUAUUAUAUUGGGGUAAUAAUAAAAUUUAAUUAAUUUUUAUUUAUAUUUUACAUUUAUGGAUGAUUAAAUGAUCCAAUAGUAUUGAUUAGAAAGUUAAGUUACCUUAGGGAUAACAGCAUAAUGAUUUUUGAGAGUUCUUAUUGAUAAAAUAGUUUGUGACCUCGAUGUUGAAUUAAAAUUAAUUUUAGGUGUAGGUGUUUAAAUAAUUAGGUCUGUUCGACCUUUAAUAUUUUACAUGAUUUGAGUUUAGACCGGCGUAAGCCAGGUCAGUUUCUAUCUUUUGUGAAUAAAUAUAUUUUAGUACGAAAGGAUUAAAUAUAUAAUAAAUUUUAUUUAUAUUAUGUUGAAUAGUUAUAAUGUAUUUA